rnacentral:lncRNA from 10 species
AGGAUCCGGUGCAGAGCUUGGAUUCAGCAGAGGUGGCUGUUGAUGUGACCAGUCCCCCUGUUUGGGUGGGAAGGCCCUGAAUGACACAUGCAGCAAGGCUUUACCCCAUAAAGACAAAGAAACUGGCUGAGGAGACAAGAGAAAGAAAGUAGCAGAAGAUGGGAAGGAAACAGACGGAGUCUCACUUGUGUUGCCAAGAGAGCUUGAGCAUCAACUGGCAGUGAGGAUGGCAGGAAAGCAACUGACUUAUCCCCUCUCACCAGACCUUCCAACUGUCUGCAACACUGGCAUUGCCACGUAUCCCGAUCCCAUUGUGGCAUUGUGGUCAGAGAAUAUACAAAUCGCUGAAGAAUCCAUUGUUUAUGGACAUUCCUGGGAUAGUAUUCAUUUAAAUAUCUCUAUGUACACUGUAAUGGAAUAUAAUACAAAAAUGG